UUUUUUUUUUUUUUUUUUUUAAUUUGUCAAAAGUUAAAGAGCUGAAUUUUUGAUAGAAGACUAUCAGCUGAUAGGUAAUAGUUUAAUGAGUUUGAAAGAAUGCUGAAAUCAAGUCAACUCUUCCUACCAAGAAGUAUGCUAUGUCCCGAGUGUCCUCAAUGAAUGCUAGGUUAUCAGGGUUGAAGGUUGUUUGGAAACAUUGCAUUUACCAGUCUCAAAAUAACACUCUGCUCAUUUUACUUAUUAAUCAGGAGAAAGAUGGGGGCAAAAGAGAUGGCUCAGGGGUUAAGAGCACUGACUUAUCUCGAUGAAGAUCCAGGCUUGAUUCCUAGUACCAUGUGCCAACUCAUAGCUCCAGUUCCAGGGGUGACCAUGUAUGUAUGUAUGUACAUAUGCAUGUAUGCAUGUCAAAAGCGCUAGAUGCCUUGGAAGUGUAAAUACUGAUGGUUGAAGAACCAUGUGGGUGCUGGGGCUUGAACCCUGUUAUCUGAAGAGAAGCCACUACUCUUUACUGCUGAGCCAUCUUUCCAGUCCCGACCGUAUAUUCUGUACAACCUAUUAUUCUAUCCAAAUGUGUACCCUGACUGGAUCCCGGGGCCUGGGGAAAAAAAGAGCAAUAAAGGACAUUGUUGGGCAGCUGAGGCACCAGCAUAUGGACAGUAGCUAACAGUGUUGAAGUCACUUCCGUUACCAGUUUGAUUCAUUGUGGCUGCAGAAGAGACUCUCGCCAGGAGAGGGCGACUGUAACUAACGAAUGUCAGGUGGCAGGAAGGAACAAGAUGAAAAGAGUGAAACUUCACAGCUGCUUUGUUAAGGCUCCCCAAUACCCUUAGGGGCACGGAGGUAUGACUGAGUCCUGCCCACCAAGGGACCCGUUUGGCUGUCCUGCUGGGACCUCAACUGCAUUCACAGUCUGCUAGCUGCUUCUUCCUUGCUGAUCUGGUCUGGUCUUGUCUCUCGGUCUCCGCAGUAUAUGUUGUUCCGUGCACAAGAUGCUCUCCUUCAGGUAGGAGCUAUGCAGCAGAGUAAAAUGAGGCACGGUAGGGGCAGGCUCAGAGCCUGCGCCGCAGAAUCCACACUUGCAUCCUUCCUCCCACCAAGCGGAGUCAGACCGCCGACCCCAGGGGCGUGGGCGGGGCGUGGGUGGGGCGGGGCCCGUCCUGCUGUCAAUCUCAAGACUGCCGCCGCCGACUGGCGGGCCUGGUGGGCUCUGAGUCAGCUCACUGCCUUCACCAAUCACAGGACGCAGCUCGCGAAAUCCACUUCCGAUUGGUCGUCUGUGACCUCACAUCAUCUGGGGCGGAGCUUCAGGCAGGCACUUAGAACACUGCUGGAGAGCGUGGAUCAGCCGCCUGGAUUCCGCACUCAGGUGAGAAUUCGUGUGCACGGACCAGGCCAGAGUGCAGGAGAAGGACGGUGCGCACAGAUGUGUGUGUGAGUGGGGGCGGGGGGGGGGAAGCGUCGAGAGUGCAGAAGAGUGGACCGUAUGUAUAAAAGAAGAGAGUGAGUAUUCAGGAAGGAGGCAGUUUGUGCAAUUGCGGGGGCGGCAGGAGAUGUGUAUGUAGAUGAGGGUAUGUGUGUUUGCACAGGUUUUAGGUAGAUUGUCGAACAGAUGUGCAGAUUUAGAGGCGUGUGCACAGGAGAGAGAUCUAUGUGUUCUGGUUUGGGGAGAUGUGUGCUGAGGGAGGGGGCCUGAAGGCCGAGUAGGAGGGGGGAUGCUUUGCCCAGAUGGUCAGGUGCACCUGUGAUGAGGUAUGGAGGUGGAGGCAACCAUCUCCUGUGAGAUGAGGAUCCAGCUCCCUGGGGUACCUUCGAAUGCUAGAAUGUAGAGGGGCAAGUAUAAACUCACCCCUUGACCCAUUCUCCUAUCCCAGAGCAUAUACAACCUGGAGAAUCUCUUAAUUGGAUUUGAAUGAUUCUAUUAUUCUCUCAGGAGAUAGAUGGAUUGCCCACUGGCAUAAGGAUCACAGGACGAUCUAGGCAUACCUGGCCUCCCCAGGUUGUGGAGAGUCCCCUGUGCCCUUAAAGAUCGAGAUGGUUUUCAAAGGAAGAAUUCAAACAAAUGAACAUCUUUAAUUUUUGAGCUACUUUGAUAGAAUCUUUUUGAAAUUGCUCUUUAAAACAAACAAAAACAAAGUAGUUGAUGGGUAUAGAGAGGGCCUGCAUGCUGCAUGCCAGAAAGAGGUACACCUAGUAGUGUAUGGUAAAGCCCUGCUACCAAAGAAUUUGGU
rnacentral:lncRNA from 1 species